CGUUCUAUGGCUUAGUUGGUUAAAGUGCUGGUCUAGCGAAUACGGAGUCGUGGGUUCGAAUCCCACCAGAAUGC
rfam:Aedes albopictus isolate Foshan contig5165, whole genome shotgun sequence.